GGAGAUGUGGCCCAGCUGGUAGAGUGCUUGCCUGGGAUGCAGUAAGUCCUGGGUUCGGUUCCCAGCACUGCA
rnacentral:tRNA from 1 species